UCGGGAAUUUUGGGCAAUGGGCGAAAGCCUGACCCAGCAACGCCGCGUGAAGGAUGAAGUAUUUCGGUAUGUAAACUUCGUAAGAAUAGGAAGAAUAAAUGACGGUACUAUUUAUAAGGUCCGGCUAACUACGUGCCAGCAGCCGCGGUAAUACGUAGGGACCAAGCGUUGUUCGGAUUUACUGGGCGUAAAGGGCGCGUAGGCGGCAAUUCAAGUCAUCUGUGAAAUCUCCGGGCUUAACUCGGAACGGUCAGAUGAUACUGCUUUGCUAGAGUGCAGAAGGGGCAAUCGGAAUUCUUGGUGUAGCGGUGAAAUGCGUAGAUAUCAAGAGGAACACCUGAGGUGAAGACGGGUUGCUGGGCUGACACUGACGCUGAGGCGCGAAAGCCAGGGGAGCAAACGGGAUUAGAUACCCCAGUAGUCCCUGAGCGGGCUGGCAAGGCG
rnacentral:rRNA from 1 species